rnacentral:pre_miRNA from 1 species
UUUUGGAGGAAUUUUAACAAGAGGUAGAACCUCNUGAAAUUUUUUUAUAAUUAGUAUUUUUGUUGGUAUGAGAUGAUAAAAUAUAAAUAGUAAUUUAUGUGUGACAUAUGUUUUUAAAUUUUUUUUCAAUUUUUCAAAAUAAGACGGACGAUCAAAGCUGAACACGGAAAAUCAUGGUUGCACUUAAA